UACAACUCUUAGCGGUGGAUCACUCGGCUCGUGCGUCGAUGAAGAACGCAGCUAGCUGCGAGAACUAACCCUUCGCCGAGAGGCGAAGGGUUAGUUCUCGCGGCCCCGGGUUCUUCCCGGGGCUACGCCUGUCUGAGGGUCGCUU
rnacentral:rRNA from 1 species